CACAAUGUUAUACUGGAGAGCAGGAAGAGCUCUGUUGGGUAUAUGUAACAGGCUUUUGUUUUUAUUCUAUGUGGCUCUUUGCA
ensembl:miRNA